GUAGGGAAUCUUCGGCAAUGGGGGGAACCCUGACCGAGCAACGCCGCGUGAGUGAAGAAGGUUUUCGGAUCGUAAAGCUCUGUUGUUAAGGAAGAACGAGUGUGAGAAUGGAAAGUUCAUACUGUGACGGUACUUAACCAUAAAGGGACGGCUAACUACGUGCCAGCAGCCGCGGUAAUACGUAGGUCCCGAGCGUUGUCCGGAUUUAUUGGGCGUAAAGCGAGCGCAGGCGGUUAGAAAAGUCUGAAGUGAAAGGCAGUGGCUCAACCAUUGUAGGCUUUGGAAACUGUUUAACUUGAGUGCAGAAGGGGAGAGUGGAAUUCCAUGUGUAGCGGUGAAAUGCGUAUAUAUAUGGAGGAA
rnacentral:rRNA from 1 species